rnacentral:rRNA from 1 species
CCUACGGGCGGCUGCAGUGGGGAAUAUUGGACAAUGGGGGCAACCCUGAUCCAGCCAUGCCGCGUGUGUGAAGAAGGCCCUCGGGCUGUAAAGCACUUUCAGUGAGGAAGAACGCCUGGUGGUUAAUACCCAUCAGGAAAGACAUCACUCACAGAAGAAGCACCGGCUAACUCCGUGCCAGCAGCCGCGGUAAUACGGAGGGUGCGAGCGUUAAUCGGAAUUACUGGGCGUAAAGCGCGCGUAGGUGGCUUGAUAAGCCGGUUGUGAAAGCCCCGGGCUCAACCUGGGAACGGCAUCCGGAACUGUCAAGCUAGAGUGCAGGAGAGGAAGGUAGAAUUCCCGGUGUAGCGGUGAAAUGCGUAGAGAUCGGGAGGAAUACCAGUGGCGAAGGCGGCCUUCUGGACUGACACUGACACUGAGGUGCGAAAGCGUGGGUAGCAAACAGGAUUAGAUACCCCAGUAGUC